AAUGAACGUUGGCGGCGUGGAUUAGGCAUGCAAGUCGCGCGACAAGGUCCUGAUAGCAAUAUCGGGGCUGGAGGAGCGGCGAAAGGGUGAGGAACAUGUGGAUUACCAACCCUCGGGUUUGGGAUAGCGGCGGGAAACUGCCGGUAAUACCAGAUAACAUCUCCGGAUCAAAGCUCCGGCGCCUGAGGACGGGUCCGCGUCCCAUUAGCUAGUUGGCGGGGUAAUGGCCCACCAAGGCAAAGAUGGGUAGUGGGCGUGAGAGCGCGACCCACCACACUGGGACUGAGAUACUGCCCAGACACCUACGGGUGGCUGCAGUCGAGGAUCUUCGGCAAUGGACGCAAGUCUGACCGAGCGACGCCGCGUGCGGGAUGAAGGCC
rnacentral:rRNA from 1 species